ensembl:misc_RNA 7SK 7SK RNA
GGAUGUGAGAGCGAUCUGGCCGUGACAUCUGUCACCCCAUUGAUCACCAAAGUUGAUUUGGCUGAUCUGGCUGGCUAGGCAGGUGUCCCCUUCCUCCCUUCCCACUCUAUGUGCAUCCCUCCCAAAGCUGUAUACUCAGAGGAAGAGGACCACUACCCAACAGAGGAAGACCAUUCUUGAAUCAAGGGUAUAUGAAUAGAUGCACUCCCCCUCUACAACCUCCAAACCAGCUCCCUAGGUCCAUUGAUAGGAGAACUUAUUCUCCUGGUCAAGCUUCCAAGACUCUAAUGACAAAGAAUUUUUUUGACCAGCUUUUCUGGUUGUUCUCAAAAGAGGAUU